CCAAAAUGCUACCCUCGCUUCCAUGAUACGCUUCCACCGGUGAGCAAAAAAAAACAGAUAAAAUCAUAUCAUAGUGCUGCCCAACUCCUGCACCUACAGCCAGGCAUGGAAUGAUGAGAAGACCCUGUGGCUCUGCUCUUCAGCUGCCAAAGGAGCAUCCCCCUGAUGUCUGGGGUGUAAAUGCAGCCGUGUCUUGAGACUGGGACAAGAGGUGCUAUCAAGACAGCAUUCAUCAGGGGCUGAGAAGGGAGUUUUGAAUCACUAGCAAGUUUGCUGCAUCGACACCAUCACCCAGUCCUGUUGCCACUCGUUUUCUUUCCCCCCAUCCUCACAGAGAUGCUACAAGGAUUUAGUGGUCUAUCUGUCUGGCUGCAAGAGCUUGGAGUCAAAUGUCUACUCAGCAUGCAGUUCUACAAGACACAAGCAAUGGAAUACUGAGAAAGUUUUGAAUGGAUCCGGUUCUGGAAAGAGUUUCAGGAACAGUGAAAGACGUGAACCCAUAUCAUUAGAAGAGCUGACUGCAGUAACUCUUGAUGACGUGCUUGCUAUUCCAGACCGUAUCCCAUCCAACGAAGAACACUGUCCUGCAGAGCUUACACUCAAACCCAAUGAAAUGCGCAUGCUUACAAAGAUGGCCGUGAAGACUUAUCUCAGCAAAGCCCCUCAGAAGUCCAGCAUGUUGGUGAGGCAUUGGCACAGGCUGCCUGGAUGGUGGUCCCUGGAGGUGUUCAAGAACCGUGGGGAUGUGACACCGAGGGACCUGGUCAGUGGCCAUGGUGGGGGUGGGCUGAUGG
ensembl:lncRNA